CAGUCGCCGCGGGAAUACGAAGGGUGCAAGCGUUAAUCGGAAUUACUGGGCGUAAAGCGCGCGUAGGUGGUUUGGUAAGAUGGAUGUGAAAUCCCCGGGCUCAACCUGGGAACUGCAUCCAUAACUGCCUGACUAGAGUACGGUAGAGGGUGGUGGAAUUUCCUGUGUAGCGGUGAAAUGCGUAGAUAUAGGAAGGAACACCAGUGGCGAAGGCGACCACCUGGACUGAUACUGACACUGAGGUGCGAAAGCGUGGGGAGCAAACAGGAUUAGAUACCCGAGUAGUCCCUGUCUCUUAUAC
rnacentral:rRNA from 1 species